UGGGGAAUUUUGGACAAUGGGCGAAAGCCUGAUCCAGCAAUGCCGCGUGUGUGAAGAAGGCCUUCGGGUUGUAAAGCACUUUUGUCCGGAAAGAAAUCCUCUGGGUUAAUACCUCGGGGGGAUGACGGUACCGGAAGAAUAAGCACCGGCUAACUACGUGCCAGCAGCCGCGGUAAUACGUAGGGUGCAAGCGUUAAUCGGAAUUACUGGGCGUAAAGCGUGCGCAGGCGGUUUUGUAAGACGGAUGUGAAAUCCCCGGGCUUAACCUGGGAACUGCAUUCGUGACUGCAAGGCUAGACUAUGGCAGAGGGGGGUAGAAUUCCACGUGUAGCAGUGAAAUGCGUAGAGAUGUGGAGGAAUACCGAUGGCGAAGGCAGCCCCCUGGGCCAAUACUGACGCUCAUGCACGAAAGCGUGGGGAGCAAACA
rnacentral:rRNA from 1 species